AACGAACGCUGGCGGCAUGCCUAACACAUGCAAGUCGAACGAGACCUUCGGGUCUAGUGGCGCAAGGGUGCGUAACGCGUGGGAACCUGCCCUUAGGUUCGGAAUAACUCCCCGAAAGGGGUGCUAAUACCGGAUAAUGUCUUCGGACCAAAGAUUUAUCGCCUUUGGAUGGGCCCGCGUUGGAUUAGCUAGUUGGUAGGGUAAAAGCCUACCAAGGCGACGAUCCAUAGCUGGUCUGAGAGGAUGAUCAGCCACACUGGGACUGAGACACGGCCCAGACUCCUACGGGAGGCAGCAGUGGGGAAUAUUGGACGAUGGGCGAAAGCCUGAUCCAGCAAUGCCGCGGGAGUGAUGAAGGCCUUAGGGUUGUAAAGCUCUUUUACCCGGGAUGAUAAUGACAGUACCGGGAGAAUAAGCACCGGCUAACUACGUG
rnacentral:rRNA from 1 species